AGUGAACGCUGGCGGUAGGCCUAACACAUGCAAGUCGAACGGCAGCACAGUAAGAGCUUGCUCUUACGGGUGGCGAGUGGCGGACGGGUGAGGAAUACAUCGGAAUCUACUUUUUCGUGGGGGAUAACGUAGGGAAACUUACGCUAAUACCGCAUACGACCUACGGGUGAAAGCAGGGGAUCUUCGGACCUUGCGCGAUUGAAUGAGCCGAUGUCGGAUUAGCUAGUUGGCGGGGUAAAGGCCCACCAAGGCGACGAUCCGUAGCUGGUCGGAGAGGAUGAUCAGCCACCCUGGAACUGAGACACGGUCCAGACUCCUACGGGAGGCAGCAGUGGGGAAUAUUGGACAAUGGGCGCAAGCCUGAUCCAGCCAUACCGCGUGGGUGAAGAAGGCCUUCGGGUUGUAAAGCCCUUUUGUUGGGAAAGAAAAGCAGCAGGUUAAUACCCCGCUGUUCUGACGGUACCCAAAGAAUAAGCACCGGCUAACUUCGUG
rnacentral:rRNA from 1 species